UUAUCACUCUACUCAGAAUGGAUGGCAAAACCUGAGUUAUUUAUUGUUGGAAUCUUCAGUGUGAUAGUUUGUAUCGGGCCACAGCUGACCUGGUGACUGGAAACCUGUGCCCGAGGCGGGAGGGCUGUCUGUACCGAUACGAUGGAGCGAAGCCACUGCAGGACUGGGCAGAGGCACAGCCGAGCCAUGCACACUUAAGGGUUUCCCCUGAAAGCAGCCAAAUUUUAAUUAGGCCUUGCAGAUGAUGCUAUGUAACAGGUACUCUAAUUCCGCAUGUGGGAAGAAGAGGUCCUGUGGUGGAGACUGUGCUGAGGUCCUGCAUGCCUCAGUCCCUGGUGCCCUGUCAGUGUCUCACACGGCGCGGUGCCCAGAGGGACAGCCCUCUGCAGUGCCUGUCAGUCGAGACAUGAAAGGCUCUGCUCUUGAGACUGUUUGCCUUCUGACAUUUGACCUUAGCUAAAUCACAGAACCAGCCCUGCUCCAUUUGCUCAUCAGUGAAAGAAAGCUGAUCCUCGAUCCCUUCUCAGCUCCAGAGACGUUGUUGGAGUUCCUUGGGUCAGGGUGACAUUGAAGAACGCUUUCAGUGUCUUUCAAACAGAUACUGUCUAAGCAAAAGUCUGCAACCGGUGUAUCACUGCUAUGGACUUUUUGUGCCUAUGGGAGGAAUCCAUGUAAAGUCUCCAUUAUCUCUUUAGUUCUUGAAAACCACACACAUAACAAUAAGGAAAAACAGGUGUAGAAUGUACAAAGAGAAAUAAUUGCUCCUUGUUGCAGUCCAUUAAUUAAUUUCUAGUCCUCCCGCAGGAACUUGAAAAGCAUUUGCUUCAUUUCAAAGCUUUAGCUAGUUCCCAUCACCACUCUGGGUUGGCGUCUGAGAGCCUGCCAUGUAAAUACUUCAGUCGUGAGUCCCCAUCUGAGCCAGUAAGCAAUGGUCCCUCACAGCACAGCUAUGCAUGGCACCUAAUUAACGAUGCCUUCAGUCCCUUUCCCUGUUGCUAUGACAUAAAGGCGCAGGCCUAUACAGAAGGGAUCGUCGCUUAGAAAAAAAGGCAAAGCAAAUAAAACGCAUCAGAACUCGUCUGGAAAGUCCUCGACAGACUCCCUACCCUCCAGUUCACCUUGCGAGGUGAAGCACGUAACGUCUGUUCUCACUGCCCCUGGUGUGUGUUUCUUAAGAUUUCCAGUUCUUCACUUCUGCUUUACUGGCCUGGAAGAUUUUGAGCAAAUGCAACCUACAGAAAUCCCAAGAAGUGUCAUCAGGGACAGAAGACCAUUCUUUGCCACUAGAUGAGAGCCACACAACUAAGUCACCUCUCCAGCUGAAAAGCCCGUGCCUGCUCCUUCCUCGGGCAAGCCCAGCUUUGGUGCAGGGUCCUCAAAGGCUGACACUUGUGGGAAGGAGCCAGGAAGGCCAUCGAGGUCCUGUGGACAGGCAGGCGCCAGGUUUGUGUGUUCCUGCCUGCGGGUCAGCAUAUCCUAUAAUGUUUUCAGGAAUCAUAUUUUGCUGCUCCUCCUGUCUUGUAGCAUUUCUAAUUAAAGUACCUGCUUGUCUGAACAGGUUUUCUGAGCCUUCGAAAGACA